rnacentral:rRNA from 1 species
CUGACCUCGGAUCAGACGUGAAUACCCGCUGAACUUAAGCAUAUCACUAAGCGGAGGAAAAGAAACUAACCAGGAUUCCCCUAGUAACUGCGAGUGAAGGGGGAUUAGCCCAGCACCGAAGCCUGCGGCCGUUUGGCUGUUAGGCAAUGUGGUGUUCAGGUUUACUCUUGGCAUAACUGCUCCAUCCUAAGUCCAGCACUGAGUAUGGCAUCUGGAU